rnacentral:rRNA from 1 species
UACGAAGGGGGCUAGCGUUGUUCGGAAUUACUGGGCGUAAAGCGCACGUAGGCGGAUCGAUCAGUCAGGGGUGAAAUCCCAGGGCUCAACCCUGGAACUGCCUUUGAUACUGUCGAUCUGGAGUAUGGAAGAGGUGAGUGGAAUUCCGAGUGUAGAGGUGAAAUUCGUAGAUAUUCGGAGGACCCCCGGGGCGAAGGCGGCUCACUGGUCCAUUACUGACGCUGAGGUGCGAAAGCGUGGGGAGCAAACAGG